AUGGGUUUAAUAUUGCCCGAGAUAAGGGGAUGCAACUGUUCAGGUCUGAUUUCCUGUUGUUUCUCAGAUACUGAUAGGGCAUCAUUCACAUACAUGACAAAUAAGACUUCUGAACUGUUUGCCAUUUGGGAAGGGGAGGCUCGCGGGUUGUUCCCUGGCGAAAUGAUUUGUGAAACAUCAGUCCGAAAUUAUUCGGGGGUUCUUCGCCCUCCACUUUCCCAUAGCGCGUUUUCCUUUCUCCCACAGAGAUAUAAUAGAAACUAAUCUUCAAAAUCCAAACAUUCCAAGCCCCAUCCUUUUGUGCAGGCAUCUCGCUGUCUGCGCUGGGCACGGAGCGGCGCGCGCGCGCCCGUCUUUCCCUCGGCGGCCCCCGCGGCUCGGACCCGGGCCGGCAGACAGGCCAUCCAUCAUCCGCCCUCCUCCCGCGGAGCGCCGCAGCCGCCGCGGCCAAUCCGGCGGCAGGUGGGGCCGCACCUGCGCGACAGCCCGCCGCUUCCCUCCGCUCCCUUCGCCGCGCCUCGCGUGCUAGCGGUGCCCUUGUGAGCCACUGCGUUCUCCAAGGCCAGAACGGGACAGAUGGAGAAAUUGAGAUGAGAGCUCAUCCACAAGAUUACCCAUCAAUGAGCACCAAUAGCAACCAAAUCCACUAGAAGACUGGGAGCUUUUAAGUCAAGAAACUUACAUCAGUAUCAUCAUUCCAAGAAGCGGUAUCCAAGCUGUUUUAUCGAAAGUGCGCAUGGGAGAUAAGACUCUGAGAAUUUAUAGAAACAAACAUUAGAAGGCAGGAAUGUGGAGAGAAGAAAGCUACCUGACAAGGGAAUCUCAGGAUACAAGGAAAACACCAAGGAAUGUAAAUCUCUGUUUACCACAAGCCCUCUGUCUCCACAAGUUCUGUGUCCAGAACUGAAGGCAGAUCCAAAUACAAUAUUCAUGGGAUGCAAAUUCCCAUGUAUGCCAAGAGAUAACUGCUUUAUUGGAGGCCUAGUGGGGAACUGAAACUCCCACUCCUGCUUAGCAGGAAUGAGAAGCCCCCUUUCAGAGGUCAACAGAAGCUGAGUUAAGAAACCUGAACUUUUACCCUACCUGGCAGUAAUGAAGCGAC
rnacentral:lncRNA from 1 species